rnacentral:rRNA from 1 species
CCUACGGGAGGCUGCAGUGGGGAAUAUUUCACAAUGUGGGAAACCCUGAUGCAGCGACGCCGCGUGAGUGAAGAAGUAAUUCGUUAUGUAAAGCUCUAUCAGCAGGGAAGAAAAUGACGGUACCUGAGUAAGAAGCACCGGCUAACUACGGGCCAGCCGCCGCGGUAAUACGUAGGGGGCAAGCGUUAUCCGGCUUUACUGGGUGUAAAGGGAGCGGAGACGGCAGUGCAAUGCCAGAGUUAAAGGGGGGGGCUUAACCCCCGGACUGCUCUGGAAACUGUACGGCUGGAGUGCCGGAGAGGUAAGUGGAAUUCCUAGUGUAGCGGUGAAAUGCGUAGAUAUUAGGAGGAAAACCAGUGGCGAAGGCGGCUUACUGGACUGUAACUGACGUUGAGGCUCGAAAGCGUGGGGAGCAAACAGGAUUAGAUACCCUUGUAGUC